rnacentral:rRNA from 1 species
AUGUUCAUACUCCAAGGUGCACCUGCCCUGAAGGAACUGGGCAUCAUGAUGUCUCCACUUAGCGAGGAGAAGGACAAAGGACUCGAGUGGGAACCAUCUGCAUCUAAUUUGAAACACCAGAGUCUGGCUGAGCUCAGAAUCUAUGGUAGGUUGAAAGCAGAAGAAAAAUUUGUUAGCUAUGCCAGAUGUGUCAUGGAAGCAGCGGUGAAUCUGGAGGACAUAAAACUAUAUAAGAAUCCAGUGUGUGAUAAUCGGAAGCACAAGGUUCCAAAGAAGUGGACAUGGAAGCAGAAGCAGGGGCGGAGCUCUGUAGGGGCAAAACAGGGCCAUGGCUCGCCCAGGAAUUUGACCAAUUUUUUUUUACCUAUGUGUCAUCGUAGCCCAGCCCAUUGA